AUGAAAUCUGCGAAAAUCGAAUCGAUCGAUCGAUCGAAAAGUGAUGAGGUAAUAAUACUUCGAAAGUGUGAGUUGAAUUAAAGGAAUUAUUAGGUGGAUGUGAGUUUACAGAGAGUGUCGCCAACAUGAAAGCGGUUUUGUGAGGCCCAAAAGUUGAAGCUCUCGGUGUAGUUUCCGCUUCCAUUAGGGUUCGACCAGCCUCUGUUUUCGCCGACGCGGAAGUGACGCGAAGAAACCAACGGCGCUGCAGCAAGAGCGAUGGAUAGCAGAGACAAGAGCGGGAGUUCGCGGACUAAAACGGAAGCCGCCAUAGACGAUCAAAAUACAGUUUGAAGAUCGUGGGAGAUGAAGAAGUUUGGGGAUGGUGGAGGAACAGUUUUGCUCCAAGCCUUAGUCACGUGCAGUGCACGAACCUCUCCCUCGCUCUCACAUUAUUUCAAUUCAUCAUUUUUUUAAAAAAUAAUUUGUUGCUUCUAAUUUAUUUUUCUUAAUACUUAAAAUUACAAUUACAUUUUGUUUGACCUAAUUUUUG